UACGGGAGGCAGCAGUGGGGAAUAUUGCACAAUGGGCGAAGCCUGACGACGCCGCGUGAGGGAUGACGGCCUUCGGGUUGUAAACCUCUUUCAGCACGGAAGAAGCGAAAGUGACGGUACGGCAGAAGAAGCGCCGGCUAACUACGUGCCAGCGCCGCGGUAACGUAGGGCGCAAGCGUUGUCCGGAAUUAUUGGGCGUAAAGAGCUCGAGGCGGUUUGUCGCGUCUGCUGUGAAAGCCCGGGGCUUAACCCCGGGUGUGCAGUGGGUACGGGCAGACUUGAGUGCAGUAGGGGAGACUGGAAUUCCUGGUGUAGCGGUGAAAUGCGCAGAUAUCAGGAGGAACACCGAUGGCGAAGGCAGGUCUCUGGGCUGUUACUGACGCUGAGGAGCGAAAGCAUGGGGAGCGAACAGGAUUAGAUACCCUGGUAGUCCAUGCCGUAAACGUUGGGCACUAGGUGUGGGGAACAUUCCACGUUUUCCGCGCCGUAGCUAACGCAUUAAGUGCCCCGCCUGGGGAGUACGGCCGCAAGGCUAAAACUCAAAGGAAUUGACGGGGGCCCGCACAAGCGGCGGAGCAUGCGGAUUAAUUCGAUGCAACGCGAAGAACCUUACCAAGGCUUGACAUACACCGGACCGGGCCAGAGAUGGUCUUUCCCCCUUGUGGGGCUGGUGUACAGGUGGUGCAUGGUUGUCGUCAGCGAGAUGUUGGGUUAAGUCCCGCAACGAGCGCAACCCUCGUUCUAUGUUGCCAGCACGGAUGGUGGGGACUCAUAACUGCCGGGGUCAACCGGAGGAAGG
rnacentral:rRNA from 2 species